CUGAUGAAAUGACCAGCCAGUCCGGAGCAACAGUUUACAAACUGUCAUUACUUUGUAUGAACUUUAUAAUUCUGAACUGAAAAGUCAUUCUAUGCUAUUAUCUUCUCCAUAGUCCACGGGAUGGGUUCUGAAGGACAAGUUUUGGGCUGCUAUUCUCCAGCGUGAGAAGAGGAAAUGCAAACAUCUUCCUUUUAGAUACCCGGGCUCCAAAGACUCAAUUCUAGGAACCUUCUUUUCGCAAGCACUUUGAGAUACGUCACUAUCAUCAUCCUCAUUUUACACUUGGAACUACAUAGAGGUAAAGUGACUUGCAGAAGUCCGGGAGCCGGACGUGGACUCAGGUAGUAGGAUCGACCCCUAACGUAACAUUUGAUGUUGCCAGAAAGCUGUGGUUAAGCUCUCUUCCUCAGGCCACCGAUGCACCCCAAGUGAGCAGAGUGGAAUGUGCUGCCAGGAGAGAUCCCGAGAGGACAGGCGGACGGUGCACGCCCCGGUCACCAAGAAGAUCGGACUCGGCCCGGCUCCCUCCCCGACCCCGGCUCUUUCGGCUGCCGCCAGCACUCGGCCCCGGAGGCCGCCGGGUGCCUCUGUGAAUCUGGACGCGAGAGUACGCGAGAAAACCUCUCUUUCUAGGCUGGCUCACCUACAAAAAGGCCUCACCGCCUAAGCGAAGACACAGGGGUUGCAGUGACCCCAAAGCCUGGGCCCCAACUCACCCCGCCCGCCGGGCCGCAGCUUCCACACGCAGGAGCUUCUGCGCCUGUGCAGAGGGGAACCGGAGAAGGCGGGGCCUGGCGUCCUGGGCGGGGCGAGGACGGGGUCUGGUGUUCUGGGUGGGCCGGGGGGCGGGACUUUGAGUCCGGAGCUGGUUCCGCUUUUCCAUUGACAGAGUGGAGGUUGGAGCAAGGUGGUGUGUAGGCAGGAUGAGGGGAUGGCUCCCUGCGGCCAGCUGCUACAUGGCCAGCCACAGGGCCUGGACUCAGGUGCUGGCUUUAGUGAGCUGUUCUGGUCCUGAGUUGAGUCCCACUUGCUGGAUGCCUUUUGAGACGGCUUCCCUUGUUCCAACACCCACCUUGGAACUCUAAAAUCACAUCUGAGAUUCACUCUAUAUGAUUUUAACGUGUUUUUUGUUGUUGUUGGUGGUGGUGGUGGUGGUGGUGGUUUUAGUUGUUUUUGUUUUUUUGUUUUUGUUUUUGUUUUUUUAUGUGAUUCUCACUUCUGAACUAGGUGAUGCAUCAACACCUCUAAUUCUGCAGAGUCCGAUCAUCUGUUACAACAAUGUACACCUUGCUUUUGAGUAAAAAUAUUGGUUUGAAAUUUUGUUGUGGGGCUAGAGAGAUGGUUUAGUGGUUAAGAACACACACUGCUCUUCCAGAGGUCCUGAGUUCAAUUUCCAGCAACUGCAUGGUGUCUCACAAACAUCUGUAAUGGGAUUCAAUUCCCUCUUCCUGUUUAAAAAAUAAAGAAUUUAAUAAAUAAAAAUUGUAUUUUUGUUGCAAGUA